UGACCUCAAAUCAGGUAGGACUACCCGCUGAACUUAAGCA
rnacentral:rRNA from 14 species